rnacentral:rRNA from 1 species
UAUCCCUACGGGACGCAGCAGUGAGGAAUAUUGGUCAAUGGCCGAGAGGCUGAACCAGCCAAGUCGCGUGAGGGAUGACGGCCCUACGGGUUGUAAACCUCUUUUGUCGGGGAGCAAAGAGAGUCACGUGUGACUCAUUGAGAGUACCCGAAGAAAAAGCAUCGGCUAACUCCGUGCCAGCAGCCGCGGUAAUACGGAGGAUGCGAGCGUUGUCCGGAUUUACUGGGUGUAAAGGGUGCGCAGGCGGCUCUGCAAGUCAGGCGUGAAAGCUAGGGGCUCAACCCCUAAACUGCGCUUGAAACUGU